AAUACAUAUAAAAAUGUUUUGAGUCAUCCACACCAAAUGACGAUCAAGUUAUCAUUAAAAAGCUAAACAUAUCAAGAAUUAUGAUACACAACUCAUUAAAUGGCAAAAAUAACUGCUUAACUGGUCACAAAAACGGGGGUAGUAGCUUUGGAAGGUUCGCAACUAGUUUGUCUGAUAAUAGUUUCUUCACUUAAAGACUUGGGACUAGCUAUGGUUGAUAAGCUCCAAGAAAUGGUGUUAAGAAAACUCAUAAAAGUCAAUAA
rnacentral:lncRNA from 1 species